UAGUGCUAAUGCUAUUGGUUUCACAAGAGCUCCAGUCAGGGCAUACUGAGCCCUCUCUUAGCCAUUGGAACACUCUGAUCUUUGUCAUCAAAAAAUGUUCUGGUGCUUUUUGCUUGCUUCAUUACUUGCGUGCAGUUAAUGCUCAGCUAGUCCCUUUUGGUUUGGUUCAGCAAGGUGGACCUGUCCUGUCGGCUAUACCGCAAAAAUGGCCAAUGAUAGUUAUUGAUUUAAAGGACUGUUUCUUCUCCAUUCCCCUUGCGGAGCAAGACAGAGAGGCAUUUUCUUUUAC
rfam:Colinus virginianus strain Texas jcf7180006226997, whole genome shotgun sequence.